AACCUUGUUUUACUGCUUAAUGUAUGGACUAUUAAUCUCGUCACUAGGGGCUUUCUGAUGUUAAUAGUUGCUGCAUGAAUGAUAUUCGGUGGAAAGAUAAUGGUGGUUGAUGUCUUAGAAGGCGAACCUGAGCUGAUUUACAUGGUGGUUUUUUGUAGGAGCUUUGUCAGAGCAAUUUUGCAGAAUUCAUCUUCUCUAUUUGUGAUAGAGGUAUGCAGACCUGUAGGGUUACAG